UGAACGCUGGCGGCAGGCCUAACACAUGCAAGUCGAACGGUAACAGGAAGAAGCUUGCUUCUUUGCUGACGAGUGGCGGACGGGUGAGUAAUGUCUGGGAAACUGCCUGAUGGAGGGGGAUAACUACUGGAAACGGUAGCUAAUACCGCAUAACGUCGCAAGACCAAAGAGGGGGACCUUCGGGCCUCUUGCCAUCGGAUGUGCCCAGAUGGGAUUAGCUUGUUGGUGGGGUAACGGCUCACCAAGGCGACGAUCCCUAGCUGGUCUGAGAGGAUGACCAGCCACACUGGAACUGAGACACGGUCCAGACUCCUACGGGAGGCAGCAGUGGGGAAUAUUGCACAAUGGGCGCAAGCCUGAUGCAGCUAUGCCGCGUGUAUGAAGAAGGCCUUCGGGUUGUAAAGUACUUUCAGCGGGGAGGAAGGGAGUAAAGUUAAUACCUUUGCUCAUUGACGUUACCCGCAGAAGAAGCACCGGCUAACUCCGUGCCAGCAGCCGCGGUAAUACGGAGGGUGCAAGCGUUAAUCGGAAUUACUGGGCGUAAAGCGCACGCAGGCGGUUUGUUAAGUCAGAUGUGAAAUCCCCGGGCUCAACCUGGGAACUGCAUCUGAUACUGGCAAGCUUGAGUCUCGUAGAGGGGGGUAGAAUUCCAGGUGUAGCGGUGAAAUGCGUAGAGAUCUGGAGGAAUACCGGUGGCGAAGGCGGCCCCCUGGACGAAGACUGACGCUCAGGUGCGAAAGCGUGGGGAGCAAACAGGAUUAGAUACCCUGGUAGUCCACGCCGUAAACGAUGUCGACUUGGAGGUUGUGCCCUUGAGGCGUGGCUUCCGGAGCUAACGCGUUAAGUCGACCGCCUGGGGAGUACGGCCGCAAGGUUAAAACUCAAAUGAAUUGACGGGGGCCCGCACAAGCGGUGGAGCAUGUGGUUUAAUUCGAUGCAACGCGAAGAACCUUACCUGGUCUUGACAUCCACAGAACUUUCCAGAGAUGGAUUGGUGCCUUCGGGAACUGUGAGACAGGUGCUGCAUGGCUGUCGUCAGCUCGUGUUGUGAAAUGUUGGGUUAAGUCCCGCAACGAGCGCAACCCUUAUCCUUUGUUGCCAGCGGUCCGGCCGGGAACUCAAAGGAGACUGCCAGUGAUAAACUGGAGGAAGGUGGGGAUGACGUCAAGUCAUCAUGGCCCUUACGACCAGGGCUACACACGUGCUACAAUGGCGCAUACAAAGAGAAGCGACCUCGCGAGAGCAAGCGGACCUCAUAAAGUGCGUCGUAGUCCGGAUUGGAGUCUGCAACUCGACUCCAUGAAGUCGGAAUCGCUAGUAAUCGUGGAUCAGAAUGCCACGGUGAAUACGUUCCCGGGCCUUGUACACACCGCCCGUCACACCAUGGGAGUGGGUUGCAAAAGAAGUAGGUAGCUUAACCUUCGGGAGGGCGCUUACCACUUUGUGAUUCAUGACUGG
rnacentral:rRNA from 1 species